GUUUACAAACUGUCCUAGGUGAUUUACAUGCUCCUCUAUUCCUUCCGAUUGUGGAUAUUCACAGUGCCGUCACAAAGCCGCCUGUUUACUGAACACCACGUCUGGAGAGCAACCUUGUGGGUGUGGAUCUGAUUUUUCUCCUGUGUGUGGUUCGGAUGGGAAAACCUAUUCCAAUGACUGCGUACGAUAUUGUGUUGGGGCAUUAAAGAAACAAGAUUGAUUUUUUCACUGUAAAUGUAUCCGUAUUUAUGACCCUGUGUGUGGAGAGGACGAUCAAACCUACAUAAACGAGUGCUUCCUACAGUGU